GACGAACGCUGGCGGCGUGCUUAACACAUGCAAGUCGAACGGAAAGGCCCUGCUUUUGUGGGGUGCUCGAGUGGCGAACGGGUGAGUAACACGUGAGUAACCUGCCCUUGACUUUGGGAUAACUUCAGGAAACUGGGGCUAAUACCGGAUAGGAGCUCCUGCUGCAUGGUGGGGGUUGGAAAGUUUCGGCGGUUGGGGAUGGACUCGCGGCUUAUCAGCUUGUUGGUGGGGUAGUGGCUUACCAAGGCUUUGACGGGUAGCCGGCCUGAGAGGGUGACCGGCCACAUUGGGACUGAGAUACGGCCCAGACUCAUACGGGAGGAAGCAGUGGGGAAUAUUGCACAAUGGGCGGAAGCCGGAUGCAGCAACGCCGCGUGCGGGAUGACGGCCUUCGGGUUGUAAACCGCUUUCGCCUGUGACGAAGCGUGAGUGACGGUAAUGGGUAAAGAAGCACCGGCUAACUACGUG
rnacentral:rRNA from 1 species